rnacentral:misc_RNA from 1 species
AGGCUUCAUAAGUUGGGAGAUAGGGCUAGGCUCAGGUUUUCUCAACGACUGGUUGAAAGCUAUGUUGCUUGUAGGGAAGGAUGGCCCUAUAAAAGUGAGUUUGAAGUGGGAAAAGGAUGUAGAGCACGGUUUGGGUAAAGUGAUUGCUUGGGCAUAAGUGUGGCUAAGGGCAGGAACAGAGGAACUGCUCAGAGCAUCCUAUGUGAAGACUUAAAAAUUAUAAUCUAUGGCACAGCAUGAGCAUUGGUCACCGGAAGUUAUGGAGGUGUCCUGAUGACAACUAUUGGGGGAGUUGAU